rnacentral:rRNA from 1 species
AUGGGGGCACCCUGAUCCAGCCAUGCCGCGUGUGUGAAGAAGGCCUUUUGGUUGUAAAGCACUUUAAGCAGUGAAGAAGACUCCAUGGUUAAUACCCAUGGACGAUGACAUUAGCUGCAGAAUAAGCACCGGCUAACUCUGUGCCAGCAGCCGCGGUAAUACAGAGGGUGCAAGCGUUAAUCGGAAUUACUGGGCGUAAAGCGAGCGUAGGUGGCUUGAUAAGUCAGAUGUGAAAGCCCCGGGCUUAACCUGGGAACGGCAUCUGAUACUGUUAGGCUAGAGUAGGUGAGAGGAAGGUAGAAUUCCAGGUGUAGCGGUGAAAUGCGUAGAGAUCUGGAGGAAUACCGAUGGCGAAGGCAGCCUUCUGGCAUCAUACUGACACUGAGGUUCGAAAGCGUGGGUAGCAAACAGGAUUAGAUACCCUGGUAGUCCACGCCGUAAACGAUGUCUACUAGUCGUUGGGUCCCUUGAGGACUUAGUGACGCAGCUAACGCAAUAAGUAGACCGCCUGGGGAGUACGGCCGCAAGGUUAAAACUCAAAUGAAUUGACGGGGGCCCGCACAAGCGGUGGAGCAUGUGGUUUAAUUCGAUGCAACGCGAAGAACCUUACCUGGUCUUGACAUAUCUAGAAUCCUGCAGAGAUGCGGGAGUGCCUUCGGGAAUUAGAAUACAGGUGCUGCAUGGCUGUCGUCAGCUCGUGUCGUGAGAUGUUGGGUUAAGUCCCGCAACGAGCGCAACCCUUGUCCUUAGUUACCAGCGGUUUGGCCGGGAACUCUAAGGAUACUGCCAGUGACAAACUGGAGGAAGGCGGGGACGACGUCAAGUCAUCAUGGCCCUUA